UCCGAUCUGGCAAGUUAAGCAACGUUGGCCUCCUUAGUACUUGGAACGGAGACGUCCUGGGAAUCGGGGGUGUCGUAAUCUUUUU
rnacentral:rRNA from 1 species